UGGGGAAUCUUCGGCAAUGGACGAAAGUCUGACCGAGCAACGCCGCGUGAGUGAAGAAGGUUUUCGGAUCGUAAAACUCUGUUGUUAGAGAAGAACGUUGCAUAGAGUGGAAAAUUAUGCAAGUGACGGUAUCUAACCAGAAAGGGACGGCUAACUACGUGCCAGCAGCCGCGGUAAUACGUAGGUCCCGAGCGUUGUCCGGAUUUAUUGGGCGUAAAGCGAGCGCAGGUGGUUUAAUAAGUCUGAUGUAAAAAGGCAGUGGCUCAACCAUUGUGUGCAUUGGAAACUGUUAGACUUGAGUGCAGUAGAGGAGAGU
rnacentral:rRNA from 1 species